GUGAUGAUGGUGAGAGACAGACGAGCCUCAGCUAGUCAUCAUUUUAAUCGAUAUGUGAAUUCCAGUCAAUCAGUCCAUCAUCCCUCAUUCUGUAUUCAUCCUUCAUUCAGCCAGUUAGUAUAGAAGUUCCAACUAGUUUGAUAGUCAGUCAUGACCCCCGUCAGUACGAGAAUCCCAGACAGUGUCACAACCCACUCCCGUUAGCCCGACACAUGGCGCCACUAUAAACACUUGCCUGCGCCAUGACGGGUUGGGGCCGAAUACCAUCCAGGCCCCUCAAGCAAGCCUACCGGCGCAAUAGGCGGAGACGUAAAAAAAAAAAGAGAAAAAAAAGUUAGACAGUCAGUCAGUCAGUCAGUCAUGCAAUAUUAUGAACCCUAGAGUCAGUCAGUCACUUAUUCAGUCCGUCUCAUAUAUUCAGUCUUCAGUCAGUCUCUCAGUCCCAAAUUUAUUCAGUCAGUCAGUCGUCACCCUCUCAAUACAGAACCCUAUAGGUCGUCAAUCAUUUAUUCAGUCAGUCAGUCAUUACCCCGUCAGUGCAUGAACCCCAUUCGGUCAUGCAAUCAGUCAGUCAGUCAAUCGGUCAUGCAACCAGUCAGUCAGUCAAUCACCCCCAUCAGUGCAGGAAUCCAGCAGGCUCAGACGCCCCAGAGCAAGUCCACAGGAUCAGGAAUGCCGCCCAACUAGACCAGCCAGCCUCGUCCACACCCUCCACAGAUGUUGGGUACUCACGUGUGACCUUGACGUACUGGAGGUGUGGGAGGCGCCCGGGGCUCUAGCUGGCAAUGGAGCCUUUCAUAACGACGUAGUUCAUGUGGUUCUGUUAGGGAAAGAGAGAUAAGGAGUAGGGGCCAAUUUCACAGUUCCCCAUGAUGGGUUAGUAAGCUCCCAAACCAGUACCAGAGCCUUCGAAAUUUCCUUGUUUAGUGUCUGGUGUUUAUAUUUAAGUUCACAAAUUUGAUGAAACUAUACAGGACAAGUCUUGUGUAUUUAGUGUGGCAUCGAAGACCUCACCAUUUUGGAUUGUAUGGGAUUCUAUAGUUUGGUUCGGGCUGUUACGAAGACACUGUUGGACUGUGAAAUCGGCUCUUAAUGAUGUAAUAGGCGAAAGGAAGAGUGGAUGGGAAUCUUAGUAGCCAUUAGAGUGCAAUUGAAACUUUUAUAUCGGCCACGUAACUCUGUCAGGGAAAAAGUUUAUUAGGGUGGAGAAGAGGUCGUGAGAAAGAGGGAAAGUAUAGAGACUACUUUGUUAUAUUUUACUGAUGUGAGAGAAGUCCGCAGCUUUCGGUAGAUAUAAUUAAGUCUCUCAUAACUGCCUCGCCCAUGUAGCUGUCAGUGAGAGAUUGGGUUCUUAAUAAGUUGACAGGAUGAGGGGAAGUGUAAGCAGUUUCCAGAUCCCAUGAUACGCAAAGAAAGGGAUCGAAUGUUUUUUCUUUCUACUCAAUACUUUAGUAACAUUUUUUAUAUAUAUUGUGUUGUCUCAGGGAAAAUAAAGGAGGUAAUGUAUACUUCCCAGGCGCUUCCUAUUCACAGCUUUAUUUAUAUUGUGCUGUUCAAGAAGUUAUGGGAAGGGGAGAGAUAAAGAGAGAGAGUGUACUUUCCUAACUUUUCCCAUUCCCAUACUUGUUGAUAUUGUGCUGUUCAAGAAGUUAUGGGAAGGGGAGAGAUAAAGAGAGAGAGUGUACUUUCCUAACUUUUCCCAUUCCCUCAUUUGUUGAUAUUGUGCUGUUCAAGAAGUUAUGGGAAGGGGAGAGGUAAAGAGAGAGUGUCUUCUCAUUCCCACACUUGUUGAUAUUGUGCUGUUCAAGAAGUUAUAGGAAGGGGAGAGGUAAAGAGAGAGGGUCUUCCCAUUCCCACACUUGUUGAUAUUGUGCUGUUCAAGAAGUUAUAGGAAGGGGAGAGGUAAAGAGAGAGGGUCUUCUCAUUCCCACACUUGUUGAUAUUGUGCUGUUCAAGAAGUUAUAGGAAGGGGAGAGGUAAAGAGAGAGGGUCUUCUCAUUCCCACACUUGUUGAUAUUGUGCUGUUCAAGAAGUUAUAGGAAGGGGAGAGGUAAAGAGAGAGGGUCUUCUCAUUCCCACACUUGUUGAUAUUGUGCUGUUCAAGAAGUUAUAGGAAGGGGAGAGGUAAAGAGAGAGGGUCUUCUCAUUCCCACACUUGUUGAUAUUGUGCUGUUCAAGAAGUUAUAGGAAGGGGAGAGGUAAAGAGAGAGGGUCUUCCCAUUCCCACACUUGUUGAUAUUGUGCUGUUCAAGAAGUUACAGGAAGGGGAGAGGUAAAGAGAGAGAGAGAGAGUGUACUUUCCUAACUUUUCCCAUUCCCUCACUUGUUGAUAUUGUGCUGUUCAAGAUGUUAUAGGAAGGGGAGAGGACGAGAGGUAAAGAGAGAGGGUGUACUUUCCUAACUCUUCCCAUUUCCGCACUUGUUGAUAUUGUGGUGUUUCAGAGAUGUAGAACGGAAAGAUGAAAGGAAAGCGUGUAUAUUAUCCUAUAAACACAAACACGAAAACUAAGAUUGAUUCCCAAACUACUUCCACCACCACCACCGCUACUACUACUACUACGACCACUACUACUAUUACAACUACUACUAUUACUACUUUCCGAUAGACAGAAACAACACUAAGUCACUUUACGAAGAUCUUCAGCACACAGGUAGACAAGACGACAGGUAGACAGGUAGAUAGUAGUUAAGGUAAGGUUAGGUUGGACUUCCCUUGAAUAAUCAAGCUACUUACGCCACACCUCUCUUUUUUUUUUGUUAUUUCACGUUUUGUUAUUGCAGGCCAAAGCCACCAAUGUUUGAAGGUUAUCUGGCCGGCUGUUCGUAUUUAUUUACCGUGAAAGUGUUUGAUGGUGUCCUCAGCGACCAUAUAAGGCUCUGGCGUGAGUGUGCUGUGAAGGGCACCGGAUGACCGACGGCUGGCGGCAGGGAGGAGGGGAAAAAGAGGGAGAUAGAGAAUGAGGAUGAAAAGUGGGUUAACAGAGGAAGCGAGGAUGUGGAAUAUUGAAGGAAAAAAAAGAAAGUUCCGUUUAGUCGGCGCAACAUCUGUGGUCAUAUGCCGGAGAGAGACAGAAGGGGAAGGAAUUAUAGGAGAAGGAAACAGACCUCAGGAGACGGGACACAACCCCCGAUUAAUACCUGGUACCCAUUCACUGCUGGGUGGACAGGGGCGUAGGGUAUCGGAAAAGCCGCCCAAAUUUUUACACUCCGCCCGGGAAGCGAACCAGGGCUCUCUCGAUUGUGAGCCGAGAGUGCUAACCACCGCACCACGAAGCCCCCCAUGGUGAAGGAAAGGGGAGAUGAAGGAAAGGAAUGAAGGGAGGAAGGAAAGGAAAGGAAAUGGGGAGCACGGUAAAAGUAAAUUUGGGGUCAUACGCUAUAGCCGCUCGUGGCCUGUGGUGGGUAAGAACCGUAAGAUCCCACGACCCCGGGACGCAGGGCAAGUGUGACAUCCAGGUUACCACAGAUUUUUCUUUUUUUUUCUUUUUAAUCAAGGGUAAAGUACGAAGAGGAUGUGGGUUAGUGGUGAAGGUGCAGAUGGGGAAUAGGAAAACAGCAGGAGUGUACAGUUGUAUGGUGUAGGUUCGUUAGUUGUUCUGGUGUACCACAGAUUAAAUUGCUUAGGUCUCUCUAGGAAGUCAUUUAUUGACCAGCCCGGAAGGAAAAAUGGACAACUGGGUGAGCUGCGCGCCAACUGGUCAGGAUUCGAACCCAAGCCCAAGAGUGUGCUAUUUAGAAAAGGAAAUAGUGAGAUAGGAAUUGCAGGGAAGAACACACACACACACACACACACACAUCAUUUGAGAGAGAGAGAGAGAGAGAGAGAGAGAGAGAGAGAGAGAGAGAGAGAGAGAGAGACUCCACACAUUCCCGCACACCACCAAGAACACCACAAGCCAACCCGCACAGCAUACCUCCACAUCGUCGCUGUCUUUCCCGCGUCGUCAUCCGCCAUACAGUCACGUCUCCUGAACUAUUUUUUUAUCCCUUCUAAGCCUCUCAACCAUCACCGAUAAAUAAAACAUGUAUAAAAUGAGCACAGCGUAUCCUACCCGCCUUGUUUUCACAUCGACAUAACUCGUUUCUCUUCGCCAUCGAUGAAAUGAAAUCUAUAAACAAACAAACACAUAGCGCACUGCAUAUCUUCGAGGAGUCAAGGUCGUCGCCGUAGAGUAGAAACUUGACAUACUUUCAAGAGCCGCCGCUGCUGGUUCCUGCGGGCGCUUUCCCAUCCCCUACGGAGGUGCCUCGUCCCCAGCGUGUUUCUGGCGGCCCGGCUUUUCGCUUCCAAACAUCUGCGCUAUUCUAUUCCCAAGGGGUCGCCAAUGCCUAUAGUCAGACCGUUUCAGAUAGUCCGUUUGUAGGUUCAAUCCCGCGGGUCCUUUCCUCCUCUCUGCUCUGCCACACAGCCCCAACACCUAUCCCUUCCUUUCAUAUGUUAGCUAUAGGUAACAUAUGAUAGGGAAAAAUAAGUGUUGGGGCUGUGUGGCAGAGCAGAGGGGAGGAAAGGACCCGCGGAAUAGAACGCCCAAACGGACUAUUUGAAAUGGUUUGACUAUAAGGGAGAGGACUGAUUGAAUUCUUGCGGGUUUGAGGCGGGCAAUAUCCGAGGAGACCGCCUGAUUUUUGAAACGUCGUAUUAGUCUUCAACAAUGCUGUGGCUGAUUCGUCUUCUUUGACCCGUUUAUCAAGGCGUGGUUAGCUGGUUUUGUUGAUUUAUUAUAUAACUUUUACGACUGAGUUUGUAAUAUGUCGACUUCACCGUGAAGAUCCACCACUUGUAGAUAACUCGAUCCCCAAAAAUGGAGAUAAAAAGUCAAACUAGCCACAUAACUGUUGCACACACACACACACACACACACACACACACACACACACACACACCGAUGCUUUUGUGUACGUAAAAAUAAUGUUAUGUGCACUUCUUCAAACACUGCGAUAGGUAAAUAUGGUGCAAACACGAAAGCACGGAUCCCUUUAUCCUGUGUGACGACUGUUAUGAUCGGUUGUUGGAGGCGAUGACAACGCUUGAUAACGGCAAUGAAGACGACGACGAUGACGAGUAAGAUAAUGAUGACAAGGGAAGUGUUAUUCUCGCGGGUCUCAGGCCAGGGUUGCGGCGCCAAGUCGUUCAUUAUCAGUCGCGACAGAGAAUGUGCACUUUUUGUUUUUGGAUAGUUAAAAGCGUUGCGAAAUAUUAUUGUUGAUGAAUAAUUUGAUUUCGGUUCAUUGUUUUCGUUUUUAUUACCUCUUUAUUUGGUUACUUGUUUUACUCUUUAUAUACUUCUUUUUCUUCUCUUUGUAAUGUAAGAAAAUAAUAUCAUUCAAACGGCACAAAACCCGAAAUGGAGAAAAGGAAACGAAUGCGAGAAUUAAGCUCCUUCUGAACUCACGUGUCUGUGUUCCUCCUGCUGGACACUGCUGCUGCUCCUGCCAGGACACCUGAUUGUGGUUAUCAUAGGUGAUAUAACGAUAUAAAGUAGCAGUUGUAGUAGUAGCAGUUGUAGUAGUAGCAGUAGUAGUAGUUGUAGUAGUAGUAGUAGUAGUAGUAGUAGUGGUAGUAGAGGUAGUAGGCAUGAGGGUGAGGAUAAACUUGAUAAGCUAUCUGUUCAUUUUCGUAACAUGUUGUGUUAGGUUGCUGGUGUGUGGGCGUGAGACAGACCCAAGACGCGCGCGUGUGUGUGUGUGUGUGUGUGUUUAAAGAUUUUGUCCCUCCGCGGAGGGACCAUUGGUCUUUGUCGGGUGACAGUCCAUGAAAAGGGUGCCGACAGAGAGAAUAUCGGCUGACACCGACCGAGUCCGUCUGGCGAUGAGGAUGUGUGUGUGUGUGUGUGUGUGUGUGUGUGUGUGUGUGUGUGUGUGUUCUCAAUUUGUUGCUUUGCGGAGGCAGUUUUAUCUUAUCAGCCACGAUAACCACAAUCUGGUGUCCUGGCAAGAGUGUGGGGUUAGUGUGGGUCACGGGGUAACAUUGUACUAAGCCUUACACAUUGGUAUGUCUACUUUAUAGGCCAAUGGCCCAUUGAUGAGGGUAACAAAAUUACAAUAAAUUCAUUUAAGUGUAUCCUAAAAAUUCGUUUUUAACGAGAGAAAAUGGUGUUUGCAGCGGUGCCUUAGAGUGAUAUUACCCGUGGCAUGAACUCAACCAUGCGUAAACAACGCGUAUACUUGCGGGGUUGAAAGUGUCAUGGUCACCGCCAGACUGGACGAGUUAUAUGACUUCUUCCAUUCUGUUCCUGGAAAAGUAAUUAUAGUUUUAUUAUGUGCUAUGAUACCUGGGCAAGCUUGGGGAAGAUAAAUUGUGGUAACCCGGAUCUCAAACGCCCUGUGUCCUUAGGUUUUGUUUUAUUGCCCACCGCUGGCUCAGUAAAGAGUACUACGGAGAUGAGCACCGAGGUCACGUGAUGGUUAGCGCAUGCCCCAAAUUUACUUUUACCUCUAUGAUAGUGACUUAAAUUUAUCUUAUCUCAUAUCACAAAAAUAUUUUUUCUGUUAUUACUAAAAUUCGAAUAUCAACGUUUGUGAAUUGCGACACACACACACACACACACACACACACACACACACACACACACACACACACACACACACACACACA